UGGGGAAUUUUGGACAAUGGGCGAAAGCCUGAUCCAGCAAUGCCGCGUGUGUGAAGAAGGCCUUCGGGUUGUAAAGCACUUUUGUCCGGAAAGAAAUGGCUCUGGUUAAUACCUGGGGUCGAUGACGGUACCGGAAGAAUAAGGACCGGCUAACUACGUGCCAGCAGCCGCGGUAAUACGUAGGGUCCAAGCGUUAAUCGGAAUUACUGGGCGUAAAGCGUGCGCAGGCGGUUGUGCAAGACCGAUGUGAAAUCCCCGAGCUUAACUUGGGAAUUGCAUUUGUGACUGCACGGCUAUAGUGUGUCAGAGGGGGGUAGAAUUCCACGUGUAGCAGUGAAAUGCGUAGAGAUGUGGAGGAAUACCGAUGGCGAAGGCAGCCCCCUGGGAUAACACUGACGCUCAUGCACGAAAGCGUGGGGAGCAAACAGG
rnacentral:rRNA from 1 species